rnacentral:rRNA from 1 species
GAGGUGGAAGCGUGGCGACACGUGGAGCUGACGAAUACUAAUCGAUCGAGGACUUAACCA